rnacentral:lncRNA from 13 species
AUGAACGUGGGGGGUUUUUUCUCUUUUUUUUUUUCUUGGUCAGCUCCAAAUCAUAUUCAGGGACAGCCCAGCACGUUUUCCAUUUGGUGUAUCAGGUGUCCAGGUCUCACAGUGAAUAAAAUUGCGGUGUGGUUUAAAAAAAUGGGAAGGCAAUGCCAAAUAAUCUGCACAAGGGUGCAGUUGGAGGAGGAGGAGGCUGUAGCCAGAGAGGCUUGCGCCUGCAUACUGCCCGCAGUACAAACAUCAAGUGUGGCAGAGGAAGGGUGCGUGGGGGGCUUCCCGCCCAUCUUUUUUUUGGGCUCAUCUCAGCUGGCAGCCUUAUUCCGCCUCAGUAAAGACAAGGUGACCAAUAUGAGUUUCAACUUUUCCUGUCUGCUCCUGCCUGGCUUCUAUUGUCAUAUUUUACCAUCAUAUGCAAGACUUGGCAAGAAUAUCCCAUUAGUACAGUGAGCAAGGUGAGUGGUACUGUCCUGCCGGUGCAUAGUCAAGAACUAGGAAAGGAGUAAAGCAUCCCCUUUUGAGUAAAAAUGAGUUUAAAUAAACUGAGAAGGUGACAGUUCAUGAAAAGCAUGUUUGGAAAUGCCAUUUUGAGGUUGGGUAAAGCUGGACUGGACUUGGAUGGAGGAAGGGAUUGUCAGCAGUCUUGGAGAUGAUGAUUUUCUUCACUUCAAUUGCUUUCAGUGGAGUUCUGGCAUCUGUUGGGUUGGAGCUCUGGCCCCAGAUGAGAUGACAGAGAAGAAAAGCCACAAAGAAAAUAUGGUCAAAAUUUCAAGUGCAGUUGGGUGGCUUUGCUGUCACACUGUAUGAAUUCAGCAGGUGGGAGAAACUGCAGAGCAGCAGAAGUUUCUCUCCCCCUCCUGCUGUCUCAUGUGUACAGCCUUCUCCUGCUGGUCCUUUCUUUUGCCUUGUUCUGGUAGCACCAUCUCUUAUUUGUAGGGAAACUGGGACUUUGUGUCAGUGCUCCUCAAGAUUUUACGGCCCCCUAAGUCCUGCAGACAUCCAGAGUACAAAUUAUCAUUGUGAGCAGCAGGAAGCAAACCGAAGAGGGAA